AAUAUCACAAUAGGAUAAUACACUAAUUAGACUCAAGGACAAAACUACUUAAAUUAGAAUGCAUGCCUCAUAAUUGAUCUCCCCUUUUUUUCACUUAUCUUUAAAGAAUUUUUAAAACUCAUAUUAUUUGAUGCUUCUUCCACUAUUCUCGGGCUUCGACUAAAUUAGAACUCCAUACAUUACUAUGAAAAUUGGCCCUCAUAUCUAUUUCGGUAAAGAAAAAUUUAAUCCAAAGAUUUGAUUUAUACUUAAGAUUAUUGAUUUAAUUCAAGGAGUAAAUUACCUACUUAGCUUCGGAGGUUCAACUUCAAUAAGACCAAAUUAAUUUCACCAUUAGAAAACAUGAAGAUCAAAUAAAAAUAUUAAAAGAACCUUAAUUUAAAACAGGCUACAAAUGAAUAUUAAACUUCCUCCUAAUAAAGUUUAUUUUUGAAACUGGACUACUUUAAAUAAAUACAUUACUACAGUGUCAUCUAUUAAAGGGAGUUGGGCUGAAUUCAUAUUUUUCACUAACUCAACCCAAAUGAAUUAUCAUUAGCCCAACUCUAAUUAAUAUAGUGGCCCAAUAAAUAUUCAACAAAAGAGCAGCCCCCCAAUUCAAAAUUUUAAUUAACUCAUAUACUCCACCCACUGAUCGGUCUCUCUCUCUAUCAAACACUAUUCAAUCUCCUUCCCCAAAUUGCACAAAAUAGGGAAAAACCCUCCCCCAAAUCAGAAUUUCCGCCUCCUCACCCAGCUUCACACCUCGCUGCCGUCGACCAGCCAUCCCUCCGGCGUCGCCGUCGCUCCACCGCCGGCGUGUUCCUUCCAUCAGCUAUUUCCUCGCCCCCUCCUUUCUCUCCCUCGGCUCCCCCUCUCCUCUCCUAUCUCUCGUCUCUCCCUCUCUUCUUCUCUCUCAGCUUUCUCUCUCUCUCCACUCAGUUUCCAGCCAUCUCCGUUGGCAUGCACCGCCGAUGUCGACCCCCUUCCAAAUCGGCUGCCGCCGCCAAUUUCAGACAUGUUGUAAAGAAUGAAAAUCAGUGACGGAGUGCCAAGCUUAGUGACGGAAAUCUCACCGGCAGACUCCUAUGUCAUUUCAAGCUAAGUUCCUAUUAUCCUUUGAGAAUCUGUCAUUUUUAUGUUCUUGAGAUGUUAUAGCAACUAUGUUCUUGAGGUGUUAAAUUGCCUAUAUGCAAUAUGUUGUAAUACGUGGGAAAAAAGUGAGGUGUUGAUGGUACUCACUUCUGUUUGAUCGUGAAAAAGGGCUGUUGAAUUUGCUUCCUCUCCUCCUGCCUCAGCUUUGUUGGGAGAUUGAUGUGGAAUAAUUGUUUAUGUGGGGUUUGUGAAGGGAAUUUAGGAUAUCUGAUGUGUGUGAAAGAAAAUGAUUUGCAUAAAUAUACUUAUACGUAAAAGAUAAAGAUGGCAAGUGGUACUUAUACAUAAAAGAUAAAGAUGGCAAGUGGCGUAUCUUGCAAGAUGCAAGUGGCAUAUCUGGUAAGAAUAAGAUGCAAGUGGCAUAUAUUCUGUCAGAGAAUGAUGAUAUCUACUGCAAAUCUUUUAAUGCAGCAUUUAAUGCUGUUGAUACACAGGAUCGACCCCCUUUUUAUUUUAUUUUAUUUUAUUUUAUUUGUUUAUUAAAUUAAUUAUUUGAGUAUUUGUUCACUUAUUCAUUUAAUUUGGUGUAGGUAUAAUCGGUUCAAGUUCGUGGCUGUCCACGUUGAAGUACCCGAUUUUCUUAAAACGCAGGAUGUAUAAAUUAAAUUUUGUUGGACUUUUAUUGAAUGUAUCGGGUAUUAAAAUUUUAAUUUUGGGUCUUGAUUCUUUUAUUAUAUAUAUAUAUUUUUUUAUA